rnacentral:rRNA from 1 species
AACCGAGAACUCCUACGGGAGGCAGCAGUAGGGAAUCUUCCACAAUGGACGAAAGUCUGAUGGAGCAACGCCGCGUGAGUGAAGAAGGUUCUCGGAUCGUAAAACUCUGUUGUGAGGGAAGAACAAGUACCGGAGUAACUGCCGGUACCUUGACGGUACCUCAUUAGAAAGCCACGGCUAACUACGUGCCAGCAGCCGCGGUAAUACGUAGGUGGCAAGCGUUGUCCGGAAUCAUUGGGCGUAAAGCGCGCGCAGGCGGUCCCUUAAGUCUGAUGUGAAAGCCCACGGCUCAACCGUGGAGGGUCAUUGGAAACUGGGGGACUUGAGUGCAGAAGAGGAAAGCGGAAUUCCAAGUGUAGCGGUGAAAUGCGUAGAGAUUUGGAGGAACACCAGUGGCGAAGGCGGCUUUCUGGUCUGUAACUGACGCUGAGGCGCGAAAGCGUGGGGAGCAAACAGGAUUAGAAACCCUGGUAGUCCGACUGAGA